AUACGUAGGGUGCGAGCGUUGUCCGGAAUUACUGGGCGUAAAGAGCUCGUAGGUGGUUUGUCGCGUCGUCUGUGAAAUUCCGGGGCUUAACUCCGGGCGUGCCGGCGAUACGGGCAUAACUUGAGUACUGUAGGGGAGACUGGAAUUCCUGGGGUAGCGGUGAAAUGCGCAGAUAUCAGGAGGAACACCGGUGGCGAAGGCGGGUCUAUGGGCAGUAACUGACGCUGAGGAGCGAAAGCAUGGGUAGCGAACAGGAUUAGAUACCCUGGUAGUCCAUGCCGUAAACGGUGGGCGCUAGGUGUAGGGGUCUUCCACGACUUCUGUGCCGUAGCUAACGCAUUAAGCGCCCCGCCUGGGGAGUACGGCCGCAAGGCUAAAACUCAAAUGAAUUGACGGGG
rnacentral:rRNA from 1 species